UCCAUCGUGAGAUGGAAUCUGAAGGAAGUCAGCGGCAAACCUCCGGCCCGAGGACCACGAACCCCAGGUGAGGCUAGCGACAGUUGGGUGAGCUUGCACAACAAAGCAAAGCCCAUGCUACCGAAGGCUGUCGAGAGUAAAUGGGGCGGGUAGAUGGAGGAAAAGAUAACGUC
rnacentral:ncRNA from 1 species